UCUGUGUGUGUUGGGGUGUUGAUAGAUUCACACACACACACACACCCCAGUGACUCUCUCCCCUCCCUGCCCCAGGAGCCCGACCCCAGCGUCCAGGGACUCACCUACGCCGAGCUGGACGUCCAGGUGCUGCAGGCCAAGCGGGGGGGAAAGCUGCCCCUGAGUCUGCCCAGCCCAGCGUGUACGCCACGAUCAACAUGCCCCGGGGGGCCCCGCAGUGAGAGCCCCCUGCAGCCAUGGGGCACCUGGCCCCAGGGGGCGACAGACUCACCCCCCCUGCAGCGCCAGUCCCAGAGAACUCUGCUUCUAAGAAGCUUUAGGGGAGAUGCUGCCCUCCCCCCACUGCUGCCCCGUCCCAUCGAGCUGCUGGCCCCUGCCCCCUCCAGACCCACAUGUAGGGCCGGUGUGGGGGGCUUAGCACCGGGAGGGGGAGAGGAUGUGCCGAGGCUGUCUAUGUUAUUUUGCAUCCUGUUAAUCUCCAGCUUUGUAAUAAACACAGAACCACAAACCA